rnacentral:tRNA from 1 species
GAGGGUACAGCUCAGUGGUAAAGUGCAUGCCUAGCAUGCAUGAGGUCCUGGAUUCAAUCCCCAGUACUUCCA